rnacentral:tRNA from 1 species
GUCCAUGGCUCAGUGUUUAGAACAUCUGCUUGGCAUGCAGAACGUCCCGCGUUCAAUCCCCGCCAUCUCCA